AUUGAACGCUGGCGGCAUGCCUAACACAUGCAAGUCGAGCGGAUGAAGGGAGCUUGCUCCUGGAUUCAGCGGCGGACGGGUGAGUAAUGCCUAGGAAUCUGCCUGGUAGUGGGGGAUAACGUCCGGACACGGGCGCUAAUACCGCAUCCGUCCUGAGGGAGAAAGUGGGGGAUCUUCGGACCUCACGCUAUCAGAUGAGCCUAGGUCGGAUUAGCUAGUUGGUGGGGUAAAGGCUUACCAAGGCGACGAUCCGUAACUGGUCUGAGAGGAUGAUCAGUCACACUGGAACUGAGACACGGUCCAGACUCCUUCGGGAGGCAGCAGUGGGGAAUAUUGGACAAUGGGCGAAAGCCUGAUCCAGCCAUGCCGCGUGUGUGAAGAAGGUCUUCGGAUUGUAAAGCACUUUAAGUUGGGAGGAAGGGCAGUAAGUUAAUACCUGGCUGUUUUGACGGUACCAACAGAAUAAGCACCGGCUAACCUCGUG
rnacentral:rRNA from 1 species